rnacentral:rRNA from 1 species
UACGAGGGGGCGAGCGUUGUUCGGAAUUUAUUGGGCGUAAAGGGUGCGUAGGCGGUUUGGUAAGUCUGAUGUGAAAUCUAUGGGCUCAACUCAUAGUCUGCAUCGGAAACUGCCGGGCUUGAGUAUGGGAGAGGUGAGUGGAAAUUCCUGGUGUAGCGGUGAAAAUGCGUAGAUAUCAAGGAGGAACACCUGUGGCGAAAGCGG